GACUUAAUCCUUAAAGUGAUGAGGAACAGAGCUCACUGCACCAUCUCCUCUCUCCACUUACAUCCUUCCAUGACUUUGUUUCUCUUCUGGAUCAACCAAAGAUGAAUAAGAUGCUGGCUUCCACUAUCUCCAUUUUUCUCUGCAUGGUCCUCACUCCGAGUCAGCUUCGCUGCUUGGUCUGCAAAAGAUUUGAUCCCGUCACAGCUAAGUGUCUGACAGAAAAGUCAGCUUGUAUAGCUGCACCAGGACAAAAAUGCCUGUCUGUGACUAUUAACCCAAAAGACGGGGAUAAUUUUCAGAGGACCGGAUGCACCGAGUCACUUUCUGAAUGCACAGAUUCAUCAGUUUCAUUCGGUCUUGGUUAUCACGUAAUAGCUACAUUCUGCUGUGAUGAGCAGAGUUUCUGCAAUGGCUUCCAAUGAGCAUUGGUUUCUCUGUCAGAGUGCCUACGGUUUUGAGACUCGGCUGAGAUGGCCCCAGAUGACACCUCUCAAUACUUCAAGGCGAAGUCUCAAGGCGACAGAUGUAGCUACUUUCCACCACGGCACAUCUGACUAUGUUGUUUUAUUAAAGGGGUAGCACCAAUUCA